rnacentral:rRNA from 1 species
AUUGAACGCUGGCGGCAGGCCUAACACAUGCAAGUCGAACGGUAACAGAAAGCAGCUUGCUGCUUUGCUGACGAGUGGCGGACGGGUGAGUAAUGUCUGGGAAACUGCCUGAUGGAGGGGGAUAACUACUGGAAACGGUAGCUAAUACCGCAUAACGUCGCAAGACCAAAGAGGGGGACCUUCGGGCCUCUUGCCAUCGGAUGUGCCCAGAUGGGAUUAGCUAGUAGGUGGGGUAACGGCUCACCUAGGCGACGAUCCCUAGCUGGUCUGAGAGGAGGACCAGCCACACUGGAACUGAGACACGGUCCAGACUCCUACGGGAGGCAGCAGUGGGGAAUAUUGCACAAUGGGCGCAAGCCUGAUGCAGCCAUGCCGCGUGUAUGAAGAAGGCCUUCGGGUUGUAAAGUACUUUCAGCGGGGAGGAAGGGAGUAAAGUUAAUACCUUUGCUCAUUGACGUUACCCGCAGAAGAAGCACCGGCUAACUCCGUG